GAUGAACGCUGGCGGCGUGCCUAAUACAUGCAAGUCGAGCGAACAGACGAGGAGCUUGCUCCUCUGACGUUAGCGGCGGACGGGUGAGUAACACGUGGAAAACUUACUUAUAAGACUGGGAUAACUUGGGGAAACGGGAGCAAAUACGGGAAAAUAUUUUAAACCGCAUGGUCCAAUAGUGAAAGACGGUUUUGUUGUCACUUUUAGAUGGAUCCGCGCCGCAUUAGCUAGUUGGUAAGGUAACGGCUUACCAAGGCAACGAUGCGUAGCCGACCUGAGAGGGUGAUCGGCCACACUGGAACUGAGACACGGUCCAGACUCCUACGGGAGGCAGCAGUAGGGAAUCUUCCGCAAUGGGCGAAAGCCUGACGGAGCAACGCCGCGUGAGUGAUGAAGGUCUUCGGAUCGUAAAACUCUGUUAUUAGGGAAGAACAAAUGUGUAAGUAACUAUGCACGUCUUGACGGUACCUAAUCAGAAAGCCACGGCUAACUACGUG
rnacentral:rRNA from 1 species